rnacentral:rRNA from 1 species
CAGUCGCCACGGGAACACGUAGGGUGCAAGCGUUAAUCGGAAUUACUGGGCGUAAAGCGUGCGCAGGCGGUUAUAUAAGACAGAUGUGAAAUCCCCGGGCUCAACCUGGGAACUGCAUUUGUGACUGUAUAGCUAGAGUACGGCAGAGGGGGAUGGAAUUCCGCGUGUAGCAGUGAAAUGCGUAGAUAUGCGGAGGAACACCGAUGGCGAAGGCAAUCCCCUGGGCCUGUACUGACGCUCAUGCACGAAAGCGUGGGGAGCAAACAGGAUUAGAUACCCGCGUAGUCCCUGUCUCUUAUAC